rnacentral:rRNA from 1 species
UGGGGAAUUUUGCACAAUGGGGGAAACCCUGAUGCAGCGACGCCGCGUGAUUUAGAAGGCCUUCGGGUUGUAAAAAUCUUUUCUAUGGGAAGAAAAUGACAGUACCAUAGGAAUAAGGACCGGCUAAUUACGUGCCAGCAGCCGCGGUAAUACGUAAGGUCCGAGCGUUGUCCGGAAUCAUUGGGCGUAAAGGGUACGUAGGCGGGUAAGCAAGUUAGAAGUGAAAUCCUAUAGCUCAACUAUAGUAAGCUUUUAAAACUGCUCAUCUUGAGGUAUGGAAGGGAAAGUGGAAUUCCUAGUGUAGCGGUGAAAUGCGCAUAUAUUAGGAGGAAUACCGGUGGCGAAGGCGACUUUCUGGCCAUAACCUGACGCUGAGGUACGAAAGCGUGGGUAGCAAACAGG